rnacentral:SRP_RNA from 1 species
GAAUGGACUAGGUCGGGCAGGUAGGCCCUGCUCUUUACCCGUGAGACAGUCUUUAGCGGGGACCGAACUGCCGGGGCGUCGGUCGAACCGUCACAGGCCUCGGGAGCCAACGUCGAAACCUCGUCCGUCGGGGACAGCGGUUCCGGUGUACUCACCCGCAGGGGUGUCACACGCCGGUUGGUCGGCGACAGUGGGUCAGGCGCGGAAGCGAGCAGCCCAUCGCCGGACGCCCGUCGCUCGCCGGAUCGCGGGGUGGAGGAGGCAACCGAGAAUCCCUGUGUCCGGAACGGUCGGCAAACCGGCCUGUCCGUCA